rnacentral:rRNA from 1 species
AGCGAACGCUGGCGGCAGGCCUAACACAUGCAAGUCGAACGGACCCUUCGGGGUUAGUGGCGGACGGGUGAGUAACACGUGGGAACGUGCCCUUUGGUUCGGAACAACUCAGGGAAACUUGAGCUAAUACCGAAUGUGCCCUUCGGGGGAAAGAUUUAUCGCCAUUGGAGCGGCCCGCGUCUGAUUAGCUUGUUGGUGAGGUAAUGGCUCACCAAGGCGACGAUCAGUAGCUGGUCUGAGAGGAUGAUCAGCCACAUUGGGACUGAGACACGGCCCAAACUCCUACGGGAGGCAGCAGUGGGGAAUCUUGCGCAAUGGGCGAAAGCCUGACGCAGCCAUGCCGCGUGAAUGAUGAAGGUCUUAGGAUUGUAAAAUUCUUUCACCGGGGACGAUAAUGACGGUACCCGGAGAAGAAGCCCCGGCUAACUUCGUGCCAGCCGCCGCCGUAAUAC